ACAGCUCCCCACCACCACCAUACUAUUCUCCUUCUCCUAAGGUUUACUACAAGUCCCCACCUCCACCAUACGUCUACAGCUCUCCACCUCCACCAUACUACUCUCCUUCUCCUAAGGUUUACUACAAGUCCCCACCUCCACCAUACGUCUACAGCUCCCCACCUCCACCAUACUACUCUCCUUCUCCUAAGGUUUACUACAAGUCCCCACCUCCACCAUACGUCUACAGCUCCCCACCUCCACCAUACUACUCUCCUUCUCCUAAGGUUUACUACAAGUCCCCACCUCCACCAUACGUCUACAGCUCCCCACCUCCACCAUACUACUCUCCUUCUCCAAAGGUUUACUACAAGUCUCCACCACCACCAUACGUCUACAACUCUCCACCACCACCAUACUACUCUCCUUCUCCUAAGGUUUACUACAAGUCCCCACCUCCACCAUACGUCUACAGCUCCCCACCUCCACCAUACUACUCUCCUUCUCCUAAGGUUUACUACAAGUCUCCACCUCCACCAUACGUCUACAGCUCCCCACCACCACCGUACUACUCGCCUUCUCCAAAGGUUUACUACAAGUCUCCAC
rnacentral:lncRNA from 1 species